AUGAUUGGGGAGGAGCUGGGAAUGGGGGACUCGCUACCGGCUGCCCUCGACAGGAGGAGCCAUCGCCGUCCACCAGGAGGCGGAGGAGCGUCCAUAGACAGUAAAAGAAAUGGACACAGCGACCCCAUUGGAACUCAAUUGAGACAAGUGAAGCCCGUUUUUAGCGAUUUUGAGGAGCGUCUCGCUGCAGCCUGCGGUGGACAUCCAACCCGGCCCACAUCCAAGUGUGACGUCACAGACCACGCCCAUGUCAAAAUACGUCACAUUCUCAAUCAUUUUGAAACAGGAAGAAGCAUCGAUAAGAAGAUAAUUUGUAUUGUUUGCCAACCGCUAAAAAAAGAAGCUGUUGUUUGCCGUGUCGCAUUCUACACAUUUUCAGUCCAAGCCUGAUGCAGGGCAGUUCUCCCCAUAGACAGUAAAAGAAAGCAUUUCUUUAGAUACUGAUUGAUUUUUGUGGUUUAAAAUCAUAAAUAUGUUUAUGUAGAAUGAUGAGGUAAAUAAUUUUUAGUGGACACAUAUACCCCCAACACGUAUGUAUUCUCUAUUUUUAACAGGAGCGCCAAGAGGACAUAAAGUGGAAGUUUGUAAGGGACAUUGGUCCAGCGUGGUACAGAGUCAUCGUGGGUUAUUCUGUGGGGAGGUGACAGGGCCUGCCUUUCUCCAGAUGGACAGUAAAAAUCAACAGAAUGCCAUCAAAGACUACCUGGAGGGAGAAUCAGAGGAUAUAUUAAAGCAAGGAAUCUCUCUGUGUAGUCUAUGUAUGUAUGUGUGUGUACUGCAUGUCAAGAACUGUUUAUCUGAUCAUUCAGCUGCUCAGACUUUAUAAUAUUUGGAGUCAUAUCUUUUGUUAAACACAACCAGUCAAAAGAUUUAAUCCGAAGUACAGCUAAAAACAGUCCAAUUUUAAAAUAUUUGUAUAAUAUUUUGCUUUUGUAAUAUAUUUUGCUAUUUAAAAUAACAAUUUUCUAUAUUUCUAUUAAAAUGAAAUUUAUUCCUGUGAUUUCAAAGGUGACUUACUCCAGUCACAUGAUCCUUCAUUCUAAUAUGCUGAUUUGAUGCUCAAAAAACAUUUUAUUAUUAUUAUGUUAAUACACUGAAGACUGGAGUAAUGAUGAAGAAAAUUCAGCUUUGAUCACAGGAAUAAACUGCAUUUUAAAAUACAUUCAAAUAGAAAGCAGUUCUUUUAAAUUGUAAAAAUAUUUCACAUUACUGUUUUUGCUGUGUUUUGGAUCAAAUAAAUCCUGGCUUGGUGAGCAGAAGAGACUUUAAAAAAUAAUAAAAAUCUUACUGUUCAAAAACUGGUGGUGUAUAUUAUUAUUAUUAUUAUUAUUAUUUUUUUGUAAAAUUGUACAUGUAAUUAUUUUUAUAAAAUAAUAAAUAUAAAAAUACCCAAUGAAACAAUGGAUGCCUUUUUCAUUCAUCUUUAAGUAUCAAGUUGUGAUGAACAAGGCCUGAAGGUCAAUGUCAUGUUACUUAUAUAAUCUAUCAAUGCAAUCUUUAUUCAGCCUAAGUAUGUGUAGCCUACUGCAUAUGGGGAACUGUUGAUUCUAUCAUUCAAAUGUUAACACUUUAUGAUAAGUGGAAUCUUUAGAAAAUUAAAUGACAAUUAUACAAUACCAACUUUUACAAUAAUUUUGCAUACUUUUACAAUACCAAAAUCUAAUUGUCCCCUUUAAAUUUGAUGCAUUUCAAUUUUGCCUUGGGUAGGUCAAAAUCGUUUUUUAAUAAAUGUGAAUUUAUCUCAUUACAUAAAUGAACAAGGUAAGGUUUAAAAGUUUUAAUUGACAAUAAGCCUACUUUAAUCAACAUAAGCGUUUUAGGAGCUGUUAUGAUGACAAAAUCAGCUCCGUAUAUUAGACAUAUUAAAUAUAUAUUAUAUUUAAGUUGUGCCAUUUUAGCCUAGACAUCCUUUACAAAAAUAAGAAAACGUGUAUUAGUAAAACGAAGGACAAUAUUAUUUUAUUUAGAUCCCAUUUUUAGAAAAUUAAAUGACAAUUAUACAAUACCAACUUUUACAAUAAUUUUGCAUACUUUUACAAUACCAAAAUCUAAUUGUCCCCUUUAAAUUUGAUGCAUUUCAAUUUUGCCUUGGGUAGGUCAAAAUCGUUUUUUAAUAAAUGUGAAUUUAUCUCAUUACAUAAAUGAACAAGGUAAGGUUUAAAAGUUUUAAUUGACAAUAAGCCUACUUUAAUCAACAUAAGCGUUUUAGGAGCUGUUAUGAUGACAAAAUCAGCUCCGUAUAUUAGACAUAUUAAAUAUAUAUUAGAUUUAAGUUGUGCCAUUUUAGCCUAGACAUCCUUUACAAAAAUAAGAAAACGUGUAUUAGUAAAACGAAGGACAAUAUUAUUUUAUUUAGAUCCCAUUAACUUCCAUAAAUUGCUUCAACAUACUUCCGGGUUUCCAGGUACGGGGAUGGGGAAAUCACAUGAGGAGACGUAUUUGAUAUGGGCGUGGCUUUCGUUUACGUCACACUUGGACGUGGGCGGGGUUGUGUCGGGAUGGGCGUGACUUCUGACGUCACACUUGGAUGUGGGCGGGGUUGGAUGGCCACCGCAGGCUGCAGCGAGCCCUACUUGGCGAUUUUUAGCACUUCCGUUUCUGACGCGCAGACUCAAACCAAGCUUGAUGACGUCAGCAACCUGCCUGACAGAUGUAAAUCUUCUAGUAGCUGUGCGUGCAAACUGCCAUCGUUAAUCUUGCAGAGACGGCGAGCUUGAGCGGGGAGUUCUUUGGCCUGAGUGAGCAGGAGUAAGUAUUCUGAUUAAUUAUUUUGUAUAGUAUUUUAAAAUGUAACGCCAGUACGCCAUAUCUCUUGACGUCUCCCCGAUUGCCUGCGAGCUUCUCCUCCUGUCUGUACGGUAAUUUCUCUACUGUGCGACAGAGAGUCGAGUGGUUACGACGCAAUCGUUAGCCUAUUUUUACAAAAACUGUUUCUACGGGGCCAUAAUGUAACAUAGAAGGUAAUGGAGCCCUUUAUACAUUGUCGUGUAUCUUUAGAUAUAAAUAAUGGACAAAUGGAGUUUUUAAACGCCUCAGAUGUAAAAUUAUUCGCUGUCAAAGUGACGCCAUAAUGAAUGGGAGUCAAUGGGAUGCUAACGCAAGUGAAGUUCUGCUACAAGAUGGCGGCACGCGGCCGACUUCAACUUCCGGUCGACUUCCUUCCCCCUGGACGCGUCGGGCCGUCCACCAAAGAUGUCCAGUACCAUCGCAUGGCAACGCGAGUGAGAGCCUCUCAGCUCGUUGGGGACAAAGCGGCAGUGCCCCCAGGUACCCGCGGCCACCGUGAUCGGUUCCCCUGGAGGGGAGUAGAGCGCAGUCUCAGGAGUACCCCCCGGCCUGUGAGGGGCGAUGGGGGUAUGUGACGAGUGGGGCGGGGCCGAGAGCCGUGGGAACGGAGCGAGGCUGGUGGAGUAAUUGGAAAUGAGUGACACCUGUGCCACUCACUGGUCUCCAGUCCCAUGGAGGAGCUCCGGAAGGAUAAAGGGAGGAGUUACGACAGUAAAGGACGAGAGAGGACCAGGCCUGGACUUUAUUUUGUGUUUUGGUUUUGUUCAGUCGUCCGUGAGGGGCUGUCGCGCUGUUUUGUGUUUAUUUUGUUAUUAAAGUUUUAUUUAAAUGUCCGCCGGUUCCCGCCUCCUUCUUCCCAACUAACGAACAGCGUUACACACACCUAAUUCAGAUAAUCAGCUCGCUAGAAGUGAGCUCCUUGCAUGAACUGUUUUCCCAUUGACAUGGUCCCUACACAGUGUUCAUUGCUCCCUACUCCCUGAGCAGGGGAAAUCUGUUGAACUUUACCUCACUUCGGAACAUUCAUUCAUUCAUUUGCGCUGCCCAACGUCUUCACACACGGACAAGUGUGACAUCAUAUGCCUCUGCCUCUGUAAACAAAUACAAUUUAAAUUCACAUCUCGCACACUUCAAUACACUUUGAAUAAAACAUAUUUGUAUAUGCAGGGCACUUACGUUCUAAUAGAACAAACGUCUGAAGCCAUAAGAGAAACAUACAAAAUGUGCAGAGCAGGGGGGUGUGAGGACUGGAAUUGAGAACCCUCUACACUGCUCAAAACUCGCAUUGGAAUCAUCAGUGGCAAAUCCUUUAAACAUUGUAGUCUUCUCUCCCAGGAUCAGGAAACAGUCCUCCAUAAAAUGUGCUGCACACAUCCGAAUAUUUGGGUUGAACUGUUCUGGAGCAGUGUUAUAAAUAUAACUUAACCACUGAUUUCUAGUCAUGUCCUCUUUUGGAAGGCCAAACAAAGUAUUUUCACUUUCACAACAAAACAGCAUCUCCAUGACAUGGCGCCGGCGGCAACAGCAAGAAUCAAAGUUAUGCCUUCUUGAAUAUUUGGACAGUUUUAUGCAAAUCUUCACACAUCCUGACAUAGACAUGUGGGGGUGUGUUUAAACGAGGCAAUUUGGGGGGGGGGGGAGGGGGUUGACGAGUCUUAACUUUUAUAAAGAACCCAGCCGGCAUUUCAACGUUGAAACAACGUCAGGUACCAUGGUUGAAUCAACGUUGAAUUACCUUUCGAUUUUGCAAAUUGGAUCAACGUUGAAAUCACAACGUUGAUUCACCGUUGAAAUCGCGACGCUGUUUCACCGUCUUACCUGCAUUACGGGUAAAUUAGGGUCGUGCUGCAGACCUGGGAUGAAAGCUGAAUGAGGUGUUGAUUUUGAAAAGUUAAUCCACGUUGAUAACACGAUGUUGUUGCCCCGUCGUACCUGGCACCGUGUAUAAAUACACCUAGAUCCUAGUUGGCAUUUAGAUCAACACUGUACAUGCAAGGCUAAA
rnacentral:lncRNA from 1 species